CCCGGCGCGGCCCCGACCCGCAGCCGGCGCCGGGAGCCGGGUGUCCUCAAAGCAGAGCACUGAUGAGCACCCAGAGAACGCCGGAGUCUCCAGAACCCCGGACAGCAGCCACAGGAGGCCCGAGAGGCAGUCGGGCAUCUCUGCCAU